CCCAGCCAAAGCCACUUUUAUUUUUAAGUUUGGUUAUUAUUCCCCAUUCUUUUUUCACAGUCUUGAGAUGAUUGUCCACAUGCUUAGGCUCGCAUUGGACGUUGAACUUUUGACUGAUUUCUGUAGCCACCUUAACAAAAGAUUCAGCUUUAAAGGUCGAAGAAGGUUUGCUCCUUUAAGUGUCUCAGCUAAUAUCGCAAGCAACAUGUGAGACAUUGGCUUCGACCAUGUGAAGUGCUUGCCCUUGCAUUUUUCAUUC
rnacentral:lncRNA from 1 species